CAGCAGCCGCGGUAAUACAGAGGGCUCGAGCGUUAAUCGGAAUCACUGGGCUUAAAGCGUGCGUAGGCGGACUCAUAAGUAUCAUGUGAAAUCCCACGGCUCAACCGUGGAACUGCAUGGUAAACUGCGAGUCUUGAGGUCGGUAGAGGUUGUCGGAACUCUAGGUGGAGCGGUGAAAUGCGUAGAUAUCUAGAGGAACGCCUAUGGUGAAGACAGGCAACUGGGCCGAUCCUGACGCUGAGGCACGAAAGCGUGGGUAGCGAACGGGAUUAGAUACCCCGGUAGUCCACGCCGUAAACGAUGUGUACUAGAUUGUGGAGGUUCUGACACCAUCACAGUCGAAGCAAAAGCAAUAAGUACACCGCCUGGGGAGUACGGUCGCAAGAUUAAAACUCAAAGGAAUUGACGGGGGCUCACACAAGCGGUGGAGCAUGUGGCUUAAUUCGAAGCAACGCGAAGAACCUUAUCCUGGGUUUGACAUGUAUGGAUUAGCUUCCUGAAAGGGAAGUGACGAGUUUACUUGGAACAUACACAGGUGCUGCAUGGCUGUCGUCAGCUCGUGCUGUGAAGUGUCGGGUUAAGUCCCUUAACGAGCGAAACCCCUGCCGUUAGUUGCCAGCGAGUAAUGUCGGGGACUCUAGCGGGACUGCCGGUGUCAAACCGGAGGAAGGUGGGGAUGACGUCAAGUCCUCAUGGCCUUUAUGCCCAGGGCUGCACACGUGCUACAAUGGCAAGUACAAAGCGAAGCGAUAUCGUAAGGUGGAGCAAAUCGCAAAAAGCUUGCCCCAGUUCGGAUUGUGGUCUGCAACUCGACCACAUGAAGGUGGAAUCGCUAGUAAUCGCGUAUCAGC
rnacentral:rRNA from 1 species